AACGAACGCUGGCGGCGUGCCUAACACAUGCAAGUCGAGCGAGAAAGCCCGCAAGGGUGAGUACAGCGGCGCACGGGUGCGUAACACGUGAGUAAUCUGCCCUGGAGCCCGGAAUAACCUCCCGAAAGGGAAGCUAAUGCCGGAUGAGCCCACGGGGUCUUCGGACCCAGAGGGAAAAGGCGGCCUCUGUAUACAAGCUGUCACUUCAGGAUGAGCUCGCGGCCCAUCAGCUAGUUGGCCGGGUAAUGGCCCACCAAGGCUACGACGGGUAGCUGGUCUGAGAGGACGAUCAGCCACACUGGAACUGAGACACGGUCCAGACUCCUACGGGAGGCAGCAGUGGGGAAUCUUGCGCAAUGGGCGAAAGCCUGACGCAGCAACGCCGCGUGUGUGAUGAAGGUCUUCGGAUCGUAAAGCACUGUCGCGAGGGACGAAUAAGGCGCACGCUAACAUCGUGCGACGAUGACGGUACCUCGAGAGGAAGCACCGGCUAACUCUGUGCCAGCCGCCGCCGUAACAC
rnacentral:rRNA from 1 species